AGUGAACGCUGGCGGCAGGCCUAAUACAUGCAAGUCGAACGGCAGCACGGCAGAGCUUGCUCUGUGGGUGGCGAGUGGCGGACGGGUGAGGAAUACAUGGGAAUCUGCCCAAUCGUGGGGGAUAACGUAGGGAAACUUACGCUAAUACCGCAUGCGCCCUUCGGGGGAAAGCCGGGGACCUUCGGGCCUGGCGCGAUUGGAUGAGCCCAUGUCGGAUUAGCUAGUUGGCGGGUAAUGGCCCACCAAGGCGACGAUCCGUAGCUGGUCUGAGAGGAUGAUCAGCCACACUGGAACUGAGACACGGUCCAGACUCCUACGGGAGGCAGCAGUAGGGAAUAUUGGACAAUGGGCGCAAGCCUGAUCCAGCCAUGCCGCGUGAGUGAAGAAGGCCCUCGGGGUUGUAAAAGCUCUUUUGUCCCGGAAAAGAAAAGCGCCGGGUUAAUACCCUGGUGUCCUGACGGUACCGGAAGAAUAAGCACCGGCUAACUUCGUGCCAGCAGCCCG
rnacentral:rRNA from 1 species